CUUCCGCUUCCGGUCGCGCGCCGGAAAGGCGGGGCCUGAGCUGUCAGACCUGAGGGGUGGCUGUCUCCUCCCACCGGGCGAGACCGAACAGCCUCCUGUAAAAUGUCGGAUGAAAAUAGCGAGCCCCUUUGAAAUGCACAGAGAAUCUCUAAAUGAAAAGACAAGCCACAAACAGAGAAAAUCUGUAACUGAGGAGACGCUGCUAUCCUGACAUAACGAGAACGUGCAGAGACCAACCAGAUGGGCACACGAGUGCAGGAGAGACUGGAAGGGGCCCGAGCAGCACUCCCGGCUGGAGGCCAGACCAGUGGUGCCUCCCUGUGUCCUUAGGAAGGCCUUGGGGCCCCCUCCUGCCCUGCAGCCCACAUGAGCCUCAGACUGCAGCCCAGGGUGCUUCCCUCAUGGGCCCUGCUGUGUCCCCUCUCACCCAGGCCUCUGUGACCUUGUCCCACCCACUCCUUGCCCUCUGGCUCCCAGACUAGCCCCAGCCCUGCAGGCUGCUGUUCUUGUGACUCUCAGUGUGGCCUUGGUCACCUGGGCUACACUGCCCCAGUCUGUGCAGUGCCCGUGUCCUUCUGCCUUGCAGAACUUGGUUCUGUGGUCACGUGUCAGCACCCUAUCCCUGUGCACACUCAGGGAUGUCAGCUCUAGCACAACACCGACCUCUUUCUUUCCUUGCUGCGUCCCCGGCACUGUCACAGGCCCACUCAGCAGAACCUCAACAGCACCGCUGGUGGACAUAAAACAACUACCAACCAGGGCGCCUGGGUGGCUCAGCCAGUUAAGCAUCCGACUUCGGCUCAGAUCAUGACCUCACCGUUGACGAGUUCAAGCCCCACGUCGGGCUCUGUGCUGACAGCUCAGAGCCUGGAGCCUGCUUGGGAUUCUGGGUCUCCCUCUUUCUCUGCUCCUCCCGUGUUCAUGCUCUCUCUCUGUCUCAAAAAUAAAUACAAACAUUUAAAAAAACCCACAAAAAACAACUACCUACCAUUCUGCCCCCAGGUGGACAAAACCAGUGUGCCCAGUGAUGCCAAGUGUCGCAGCGACAAGAGGCCUGGUGGGGGCUGGUGGGGGCUUGUGGACUGAUGUCCCUCAGACUUCAUACUCGAGACCUGCUCUGCUGGGCCAUGGGGACGGGACCAGUGCCCCGAACAAAGAGGCUGCACAGAGCUCCCCAGCCCCUUUCUCCACGUGAGUGCAGUGACUUUAUGGCCCUUCACCGGGCCUGCAGCACCCUAAUCACAAACCUGCACACGCACACACAUGCACACACUCACGGGGGCCAGGUGUCUGCUCCCUCAGGACAGGUCAAGUCUGGGGGACCCGAAAGGCACCUGGGAGGGUCCCCCAUCCCUCAACGAUGGGUAAGAGGGGGCUGGUGGGUGGAGGGAGGGAGCUCUGCUGAGGCCACAGCACGCGGCGCCAAGCGCUCAGCCUCCUGCCUGCAUCUUUGGGCCCCAGCAUUUUAUUUUUGCCUUUUAUCCAGCAGUAAAGGACUGUCUUAGAAUGAAAUGAAUCAACACACCGAAGGAAAUAGUUACUU